rnacentral:rRNA from 1 species
GUCGAGCGGCAGCGGGAAGUAGCUUACUACUUUGCCGGCGAGCGGCGGACGGGUGAGUAAUGUCUGGGAAACUGCCUGAUGGAGGGGGAUAACUACUGGAAACGGUAGCUAAUACCGCAUGACGUCGCAAGACCAAAGUGGGGGACCUCGGGCCUCACGCCAUCGGAUGUGCCCAGAUGGGAUUAGCUAGUAGGUGAGGUAAUGGCUCACCUAGGCGACGAUCCCUAGCUGGUCUGAGAGGAUGACCAGCCACACUGGAACUGAGACACGGUCCAGACUCCUACGGGAGGCAGCAGUGGGGAAUAUUGCACAAUGGGCGCAAGCCUGAUGCAGCCAUGCCGCGUGAGUGAAGAAGGCCUUAGGGUUGUAAAGCACUUUCAGCGAGGAGGAAGGCGUUGUAGUUAAUAGCUGCAACGAUUGACGUUACUCGCAGAAGAAGCACCGGCUAACUCCGUGCCAGCAGCCGCGGUAAUACGGAGGGUGCAAGCGUUAAUCGGAAUUACUGGGCGUAAAGCGCACGCAGGCGGUUUGUUAAGUCAGAUGUGAAAUCCCCGAGCUUAACUUGGGAACUGCAUUUGAAACUGGCAAGCUAGAGUCUUGUAGAGGGGGGUAGAAUUCCAGGUGUAGCGGUGAAAUGCGUAGAGAUCUGGAGGAAUACCGGUGGCGAAGGCGGCCCCCUGGACAAAGACUGACGCUCAGGUGCGAA